GCACUCUAAAAUUGCUCUAAAAUUAUUAUUCUUUUUUCUCUUUUUUUCUAAUUUUUUAAUUAUUUUUAUGAAUUUACUAUUAUUAAUUUUAAAAAUUAUUCAAAUCUAUAAUUAGAUAUUUAAAGAAAUCACUACUACAAUAUUAGCCUUUAGAGGCAGUUUUUUCAACCCUAUUUAUAAAAAGGGAAGCUAAAGGGUGUGAAAAUACCCGCUAUGUUCGAAAUUGACAUUUAGAGGCAGUUUUUUGAUAAAAACCGUAGGUAUAAAAUUGUAUUAUACCAUUUAGAGGCGGUUGGAAAUUAUUAUUUUUUUUUUCUGAACUACCCUAUGGCGUCGGUUCCUGUAUAGGAACCGACGGCAUAGGGUACACAGUCUUCUGACACGUGUACCCUAUGCCGUCGGUUCCUAUGAAGGAACCGACGCCAUAGGGUCGAUCAGAGUAUAUCUCUUUGCUCGACCUUCCUUCUUCCUCCCCACUUCACUCAGCAACCCAGAAAAACCAGAGACCCCAUUUUCUCAGCCAAAACCCUCGCCUCCACCACCUUCUCCCCACCCUAUCUCCCUCAUUUCUCAACCAUUUCAGCCCAUUUUUUUUUUAAAAUCCUCCAUUUUCGAUACUUAAUAACAUACACCUAAAAAGUUUUGAUUUUUUAGCCUCUAAAAGUGUCAUCCGAACCCAAAUAGUAAAUUUUGGGUGUGAAAUCCGGCCACCCAUUUUUGUUGAGAAAUUGUUCAAUCUCAACCUCGUUUAAGUGUCGGGAUUUUUUACGGUGGUCGUCGGAUUGCGGUUAUUAGGUAAUAAUUUAUACCACAAUGUAUAGUAUAUAUAUGUAUUUGUAUAUUUUAUUGAAUAUUUGUAUAUAAUGUGUGUAUAUAUUGUGUGUGUAUAUAGUGUGUGUAUAUUUUUUAUGAAAAUAAAUUUUGUAAUUGUAUUUUAUAUAUUUUUUGCAAUAUAUAUUUAUUGUGAAUAAAAUGACAUUGGAGGGAUUUCAUUA